UAUUUUGUAGCAGACUUCAGUUCUC
rnacentral:miRNA from 1 species